CCUACCCCCCCCUCCCGCCACCACCUCCCUCAGCGCGGCAGGACACGCAGCAGCGCUCGCGCGCGGGCGGCCGUUGGGCUGCGGUCCGCGCCGCGCCCGCCCGCCCGGGCAGCCGCGAUGAGGGGCCGCCCCGUAGCCAGGUCCGGCCGUUACCUGGGAGAGCCGGGUGGCCAGUGUGCUCUGGAGUGGGCCAGCCUGCCUCUUGGGUCUCAGCGGGUCUCAUGAACGAUGGAGGGAACCUCUGCUUUGGUGGCUGCCCUUGCUGCAAGAGAUGGGCCACGGCUUUGAGGUACCUGUAUGAUCCUCUGCUACUAGAGUUGGCCUGGGACCAGUCCAGCACCUGAUCUCAGAUGAUUGAUUCAUGGCCCUGGAGUGCAGCCACAGCUUCAUGGUUACAAACGCGCAUGGACGCGGCCGGGCGCUGCGCUGUCCCUCUGGAGCGCGUGGGAGAGGUGUGAAAUGCUGGUUCUUGCCAUUGUGGCAACUAUUGAUCACCACCUCUGUGGGUUAUUGAAGACAAAAGACAGUGUAAACACUACUGAGCUCCCCCACUUGCCCAAAAUGCACACGUGCCUCCAGGUGACGUAAACCCUUCCUGGGACUUGACUGUAAUUACAAAUGAACUUCUUGCUCACAGUAGUAGGUGCCAACUCUUCUUACGGGGUUUAGCUACUCCAUACAGUUGUUCCUUGUAGCCGGGGAUGGCCCCUCCACUCUUUUCCCAGGGCUCACUGUCAUUAGCUCCUGGUUGGAGUCUGCCACCCACUAACUACUAGUCUACGUAGAUACUAACUUGUUUUUUAAGUAGAGAUCGGGCAUAACAGUCUUUCAAUGAUUCAAUAAUAUCUGUCUCCCCUAGACAGAAAAUGUGUCUCUGCCCAGCCACAGCCACUCUGCAGACAGCAAAUGUUCACCUUUGCCAAAUGACAAGGAUAUACGCUGUUGUUACGCUCUCCCUGCACUGUGUGACUUUACCUAGGAUGUUUAGCUAUGUAUUUCUCAAUAGAAAUAAACACUAUUUUCUUAAA